rnacentral:rRNA from 1 species
UGGGGGAUAUUGGACAAUGGGGGAAACCCUGAUCCAGCGACGCCGCGUGAGUGAAGAAGUAUUUCGGUAUGUAAAGCUCUAUCAGCAGGGAAGAAAAUGACGGUACCUGAGUAAGAAGCCCCGGCUAACUACGUGCCAGCAGCCGCGGUAAUACGUAGGGGGCAAGCGUUAUCCGGAUUUACUGGGUGUAAAGGGAGCGUAGGCGGCAAGGUAAGCCAGAAGUGAAAGCCCGUGGCUCAACUGCGGGACUGCUUUUGGAACUAUCUAGCUAGAUUGCAGGAGAGGUAAGUGGAAUUCCUAGUGUAGCAGUGAAAUGCGUAGAUAUUAGGAGGAACACCAGUGGCGAAGGCGGCUUACUGGACUGUAAAUGACGCUGAGGCUCGAAAGCGUGGGGAGCAAACAGG